UAACUCAAUACAAAUGUUGUAAGCCUAAAAUUCAUCCCAGUUUCUUCAUUUGCUGAUUGUUUCUACAAAUUUGCUUGUUUUGACUACAAUCUAAGAUAAGAUGACUUCAGAUCAUCACAUUUAUGUGCUUCUAUGAACAUUCAAAAUUCCCACCAACAAUAUCCACAUUUCUAGUAACUGACGAGAUACUGCAGCCAAAAACGACAGUAAUCUUGGCUAAAUGCAAUACCCAUGACCAAAUAAAGCAACUUCCCCACAGCAUUCCCUUCGUUAUCUCAUGCCUUCGAAGUCUAACAGUCCAAGUGCAUUCCAGGGCUUGUUCCAGUUAUACACUAUCAGUGUCUUCAUUGGCCAAUCAGCGAAUUGAACAAUAAAAGAAAUUCAAAGAUUUUGCAACCAAAUCUAACUAUAGAAGUAUUGAUGAAUAUUGAAAUUAAAAAUGCAUUUAAAACGCCAAAAUGAGUAGAAACAGAAGAAGGGUAUAGAGGCUUACUCACCAUCUUCAACUAGGAACCAAAAG
rnacentral:misc_RNA from 1 species